rnacentral:rRNA from 1 species
AUUGAACGCUGGCGGCAGGCCUAACACAUGCGAGUCGAGCGGAUGAAGGGAGCUUGCUCCUGGAUUCAGCGGCGGACGGGUGAGUAAUGCCUAGGAAUCUGCCUGGUAGUGGGGGAUAACGUCCGGAAACGGGCGCUAAUACCGCAUACGUCCUGAGGGAGAAAGUGGGGGAUCUUCGGACCUCACGCUAUCAGAUGAGCCUAGGUCGGAUUAGCUAGUUGGUGGGGUAAAGGCCUACCAAGGCGACGAUCCGUAACUGGUCUGAGAGGACGAUCAGUCACACUGGAACUGAGACACGGUCCAGACUCCUACGGGAGGCAGCAGUGGGGAAUAUUGGACAAUGGGCGAAAGCCUGAUCCAGCCAUGCCGCGUGUGUGAAGAAGGUCUUCGGAUUGUAAAGCACUUUAAGUUGGGAGGAAGGGCAGUAAGUUAAUACCUUGCUGUUUUGACGUUACUAACAGAAUAAGCACCGGCUAACCUCGUG